rnacentral:rRNA from 1 species
UACGUAGGGUGCAAGCGUUAAUCGGAAUUACUGGGCGUAAAGCGUGUGCAGGCGGUUUCGUAAGCUAGUCGUGAAAUUCCCGGGCUCAACUUGGGAGGGGCGAUUGUGAUUGCAAAGUUGGAGUGUGGCAGAGGGGGAUGGAAUUCCGCGUGUAGCAGUGAAAUGCGUAGAUAUGCGGAGGAACACCGAUGGCGAAGGCAAUCCCCUGGGCCUGCACUGACGCUUAUGCACGAAAGCGUGGGGAGCAAACAGG